rnacentral:rRNA from 1 species
UACGAAGGGGGCGAGCGUUGUUCGGAAUUACUGGGCGUAAAGCGCACGUAGGCGGCUUUGUAAGUUAGAGGUGAAAGCCCAGGGCUUAACCCUGGAAUUGCCUUUAAGACUGCAUCGCUAGAAUUGUGGAGAGGUAAGUGGAAUUCCGAGUGUAGAGGUGAAAUUCGUAGAUAUUCGGAAGAACACCAGUGGCGAAGGCGACUUACUGGACACAUAUUGACGCUGAGGUGCGAAAGCGUGGGGAGCAAACAGG